CAAGAGGAGAAGGAUGCUCAAGACAUUGGAAGCUGCUACUCAUACCAAAAUACAACAGAGGAGUCUUAAGCUUCAUUACACAGGUCUCCUAAGGGCAUGUUACUGGAGCCCUACCCUGGAACUCAUGGUUAAGGAAAUGCAUCUUUCUGCCUGUGAUGAGUUUGCAGCUGUUCCUGCAAAGGACUCCAAGAGCUGGGGAGCUGAACUGAGGACUGGAUGGGAGCUUGGAGGUGAAAUGACCUGCCAGGGAAAAAAAAGGAACUGUGAAGGAAAACAGCACCCAUGGCCAAGUGCAUAA
rnacentral:lncRNA from 1 species